UGGGGAAUAUUGGACAAUGGGCGAAAGCCUGAUCCAGCCAUGCCGCGUGUGUGAAGAAGGUCUUCGGAUUGUAAAGCACUUUAAGUUGGGAGGAAGGGCAUUAACCUAAUACGUUAGUGUUUUGACGUUACCGACAGAAUAAGCACCGGCUAACUCUGUGCCAGCAGCCGCGGUAAUACAGAGGGUGCAAGCGUUAAUCGGAAUUACUGGGCGUAAAGCGCGCGUAGGUGGUUUGUUAAGUUGGAUGUGAAAUCCCCGGGCUCAACCUGGGAACUGCAUUCAAAACUGACUGACUAGAGUAUGGUAGAGGGUGGUGGAAUUUCCUGUGUAGCGGUGAAAUGCGUAGAUAUAGGAAGGAACACCAGUGGCGAAGGCGACCACUUGGACUAAUACUGACACUGAGGUGCGAAAGCGUGGGGAGCAAACA
rnacentral:rRNA from 1 species